AUGUGACAUCACAAUGCCCCGCCCAUAUGCUCUGCCAUAUGGGCCAAUGCCAGUCUUCACAAAGUGUCUUUUAUCUGAAAAGACAGUGUGUUUACAUUAAAAAGCCUACAGGCACAGGCUAUAGACACCAGAACCACUACAUUAAGCUGUAGUGCUUCUGUAUCCAUUUAAUGUGAGGUAAAUUAGAGAUUAGUGUCACUAAUAAUAUAUUGGAUUGCCUACUUGCCACCAGAUGAGGACAAGAGGCUGAUGAUGGGCUCAGUCUGGCUCCACAGGUCUGGUGUAGAAGAGGCUCUCUG